GACGAACGCUGGCGGCGUGCUUAACACAUGCGAGUCGUACGGUAAGGCCCUUUCGGGGGUACACGAGUGGAGAACGGGUGAGUAACACGUGAGUAACCUGCCCACAACUUUGGGAUAACGCUAGGAAACUGGAGCUAAUACUGGAUAUGUGCUCCUGCUGCAUGGUGGGGGUUGGAAAGCUCCGGCGGUUGUGGAUGGACUCGCGGCCUAUCAGCUUGUUGGUGGGGUAGUGGCCUACCAAGGCGGCGACGGGUAGCCGGCCUGAGAGGGUGACCGGCCACAUUGGGACUGAGAUACGGCCCAGACUCCUACGGGAGGCAGCAGUGGGGAAUAUUGCACAAUGGGCGCAAGCCUGAUGCAGCAACGCCGCGUGCGGGAUGACGGCCUUCGGGUUGUAAACCGCUUUCAGCAGGGACGAAGCUUUUUGUGACGGUACCUGCAGAAGAAGCACCGGCUAACUACGUG
rnacentral:rRNA from 1 species